rnacentral:rRNA from 1 species
GAUGAACGCUGGCGGCGUGCUUAACACAUGCAAGUCGAGCGAAGCACUAAAGCGGAUUUCUUCGGAUUGAAGGUUUAGUGACUGAGCGGCGGACGGGUGAGUAACGCGUGGGUAACCUGCCUCAUACAGGGGGAUAACAGUUGGAAACGGCUGCUAAUACCGCAUAAGCGCACAGUACCGCAUGGUACGGUGUGAAAAACUCCGGUGGUAUGAGAUGGACCCGCGUCUGAUUAGGUAGUUGGUGGGGUAACGGCCUACCAAGCCGACGAUCAGUAGCCGACCUGAGAGGGUGACCGGCCACAUUGGGACUGGGACACGGCCCAAACUCCUACGGGAGGCAGCAGUGGGGAAUAUUGCACAAUGGGGGAAACCCUGAUGCAGCGACGCCGCGUGAGCGAAGAAGUAUUUCGGUAUGUAAAGCUCUAUCAGCAGGGA